rnacentral:rRNA from 1 species
UUUAUGGAGAGUUUGAUCCUGGCUCAGGACGAACGCUGGCGGCGUGCCUAAUACAUGCAAGUCGAGCGGAGAAGUUUGAAAGCUUGCUUUCAAACUGCUUAGCGGCGGACGGGUGAGUAACACGUAGGUAACCUGCCUGUAAGACCGGGAUAACAUUCGGAAACGAAUGCUAAUACCGGAUAUGCGAUUUCCUCGCAUGGGGAGAUCGGGAAAGACGGAGCAAUCUGUCACUUACAGAUGGACCUGCGGCGCAUUAGCUAGUUGGUGGGGUAACGGCUCACCAAGGCGACGAUGCGUAGCCGACCU